UACGUAGGGUGCAAGCGUUGUCCGGAAUUAUUGGGCGUAAAGAGCUCGUAGGCGGUUUGUCGCGUCGGCUGUGAAAACCUGAGGCUCAACCUCAGGCCUGCAGUCGAUACGGGCAGACUAGAGUCCGGCAGGGGAGACUGGAAUUCCCGGUGUAGCGGUGAAAUGCGCAGAUAUCGGGAGGAACACCGGUGGCGAAGGCGGUUCUCUGGGCCUGUACUGACGCUGAGGAGCGAAAGCGUGGGGAGCGAACAGG
rnacentral:rRNA from 1 species